UACGUAGGGACCAAGCGUUGUUCGGAUUACUGGGCGUAAAGGGCGCGUAGGCGGCGUGGUAAGUCACUUGUGAAAUCUCUGAGCUUAACUCGAACGGCCAAGUGAUACUGCUGUGCUAGAGUGCAGAAGGGGCAAUCGGAAGUUCUUGGUGUAGCGGUGAAAUGCGUAGAUAUCAAGAGGAACACCUGAGGUGAAGACGGGUUGCUGGGCGUGAGCACUGACGC
rnacentral:rRNA from 1 species